rnacentral:rRNA from 1 species
GCAAUAAACCUAGCCCAACCAACUAACUAAUACUCAACAAAUAACAACCAUCAACUACCACUUUAAACCUUAAAACAUUCUACUUGUCUAAGUAUAGGAGAUAGGAAAAGACCACUGGAGCUAUAAAAAUAGUACCGUAAGGGAAAGAUGAAAAACAUGAAACACCCAUCCAAGCAAAAAAAAGCAAAGAUUAAACCUUGUACCUUUUGCAUAAUGAUUUAGCUAGCAUACUUCAAGCAAAGAGGACUAAAGUAUGAAACCCCGAAACUAAGUGAGCUACUUAUAAGCAGCUUAUAACAAAAGCUUCUUAACCGUCUCUGUGGCAAAAGAGUGGUAAGACUUACAAGUAGAAGUGAAAAGCCUAACGAACUUAGUAAUAGCUGGUUGCUCAGGAAAAGAAUAAAAGUUCUACCUUAAACCCUCCAACAGACACAACAAAGUCUCACCUAAAGAGAAAUUUAAGAGAUAUUUAGUAGGGGUACAGCCCAACUAACAAAGGAAACAACCAAAUACGGAGGAAAAAAUUUUAAACAAUACAUCCGUAGGCCUUAAAGCAGCCACCACUAAAAUAAAGCGUUAAAGCUAAACCACAAUAAAUAUUAAUAAAAAUUUAUUUCCCCAAGUUUCUACUGAGCUAUUCUACCCAUGUAGAAGGAUUAAUGCUAAAAUGAGUAACAAGAAUUAAAAACUUCUCUAAGCAUUAGCUUAAAUCAGCAUAGAUAUACUACUGAUUAUUAACAACUAAACCCAUAGAAACAAACAAAACUUAACAAAUUCUAUAGACAAAACUGUUAACCCGACACAGGAAUGCAUACAAGAAAGAUUAAAAUUUGUAAAAGGAACUAGGCAAACAAAGAACCCGACUGUUUACCAAAAACAUAGCUCCUAGCAUCACAAGUAUUAGGAGUGAUGCCUGCCCAGUGACACUGUUUAACGGCCGCGGUAUCCUGACCGUGCGAAGGUAGCGUAAUCACUCGUCUUUUAAAUAAAGACUAGAAUGAAUGGCUAAACGAGGUUCUAUCUGUCUCUUACAAACAAUCAGUGAAAUUGAUCCCCCCGUGCAAAAGCGAGAAUAAUACCAUAAGACGAGAAGACCCUGUGGAACUUUAAGUAUAAGUCAUCACCAUUAACCUACUACUCAACAGAAUUAACACUACUCAUAACCUUCCUGACUUCCAACUUUCGGUUGGGGCGACCUCGGAGAAAAAUAAAACCUCCGAAAAUUACUACUAAGACAAUACAAACCUAAGUGCCUACGGCAAAACGAUCCAAUAUACUUGAUCAACGAACCAAGCUACCCCAGGGAUAACAGCGCAAUCCCCUCUUAGAGUCCAUAUCAAUGACGGGGGUUUACGACCUCGAUGUUGGAUCAGGACACCCUAAUGGUGCAGCCGCUAUUAAGGGUUCGUUUGUUCAACGAUUAAUAGUCCUACGUGAUCUGAGUUCAGACCGGAGUAAUCCAGGUCGGUUUCUAUCUAUGAUUACAAAUUUUCUAGUACGAAAGGAUUGAAAAUAUAUAGCCCAUGUAAAAAACACGCUAUACUCUGCAUUAGUGAACAUAACUAAACUAAGUACAAAGACAGAACCCAUCUACAAAACCUUAAAUAAAGGC